rnacentral:lncRNA from 1 species
UCAAUUCUCGACCAUCUGAACCUUCUUAACAAACGGAAUAAAGGAAAAAAGUUCGAGUCACACGAAGCAAGGAGGAAAUCAAGACCGAGGUACGCUACUUGUACAACCCAUGGUAAAUCUCAAGUUUAGCUAUCAAGCUUCGUCCGGUUCGAACACGCUUCAAGGCCCGUCUUAUGUUCCGCUACUUUUGUAAAGAAGACAAUGUCUAAUACUUUUGUCUAUAUCUAGUAGCUAAAACUAGUUCUUUUAUGUUGUCUUUUGAAAACCUUAGUAGGAUGAAUGUAUUUUA